rnacentral:lncRNA from 1 species
AAAAUUUGGGUCAUGAAUUUGAAAGUCUAGAAGUUAUUUGGUCCAGCUAAAAAAGGUGAAAAUUUUGGAUUUCUGAAGCUGCCAAAAGAUUUCAAGACCCCCUUAACAUAAAAUUGUCCAUAUUUCGAGUUAGAGCCGAUGAAGUUUUCUAUAAAUUUGAUAUAAUUUGUCCCAAAAGAAGUACAACACACUUUACAAAUAUUAUCAAGAAAGAGCAG